rnacentral:lncRNA from 1 species
AGAGGAAAUAUGCCACAUAUGGACAGAUAUCUGGAAGAGAAAAUGACUGUGCCCUCUUUGUGCCGUUGCUGGGCCCAAUUUUUAGAAGCUGAUUUUUGCUGAUCAAUAUACCUUCCUUUUCGACUUUAUUCGUAUUAACCAGAAACUGUAAAGUUAAGACCAAAGGGAAAAAGGUCCCUUUUCCAAGUCCCUGAUCUGCUUUGAGGAUAGAGCGAGGAAUCUCAAAGCUAUUGUGAUUGGUUCCUGCGGCAUCAAGCCAUGAGAUUCCCCUGGGUUUAAGCUUCUUAGGGGAGAAAUAGCACUGGGUCUGCGGUCAGAACAUCCAGGUUCAAGUUCUGACUCACUCUCUUUCUAAUCACAUGACCUUGAAGAAGGCGUGUAAGUUCUCUGGGCUUCAGCUGUCCGCAUCUGUGAAGAGGAUCAUUGGACCAUCAAGGAGAUACUUUCUAAAACACUGUGCAAGGCAGGCACAGGGACCUCUCACGAUCAAACCCCUCCCUGGAGUGUGGCCCAGCGUCUGGCUUGGCUGUAAGGAACAAACUCUCCAGGUAACGAGAUAA